UCUCAUACUAGCUACCUAAGAUUAUACAGUAUUAAUUUGCCACCAUGCGAGUGUGUGCAACUUUCAGUUUGUUUGCGUAGCGUAUCAAGGCUUGUACCACUGCAGCAAUUAACCAAGGAAAGAAAGGAAAUUGGAUCUGAAGAAUGCUGCAGACCAAUCUAUGGGCUAGAGAUUCAAAACGGAACUGCUGACAUUCAAAGGAUUGGUUCGUCAUGCCGGAGAAGAUAGAGAUCCAAGCAAAAAAACAUCGAUGCUGCAGCAGGAGAGACAAUUGGCAUUUUAGAGGAUACAAGCAAAGGAAAUGUGAUCUUCG